UNUGAGCCUUACACUUAGUGUAAUCUCUCGU
rnacentral:piRNA from 1 species